AGCAUAGUUUAAUUGGUAGUUCCUGUUUUCUUUUUUGGUAAAAGAAAAGGGUAGGGGGAGAGAAUCUCGACGUGUCAGUGAUAUCUUAGAUUUAAUACAGUAUGAAAUGACCCCUGUUUUUUAGAUAAUGACGUUGCAGUUCAGAGAGCUUCAGUGGCCUUUCGACGUCCCAUGGUCUUCUAUGCAGCCUGGAGUCCUGGAACAAUUAGGAUUAUGUUAGGAUCACUGCACACCCUUGACUGGAGCCUGCUUGCCCUUUGCUCUUCGGAGACUCCUGGAGGGCCCUGUGCUGCUGAUAUGGGGUGACCCUUGCGCUUUACCUAUGCACUUUGUGUCGAACCAAGAAAGACAAGGCUCCUGGUAUGGUCUGCUAGGGAAGUCUGUCACCGGGCAAAAGAGACCUAUCUCUUCCAGGGAUCUACCACGUACUGUGGGAGCUGCUGGGAGCAUCAGCAGGAAGGACAUCAACGAAAGAGGAGGUUCUCCUGUCUGGCUUUCCCUUCCUGUCUCCCUGGCUCCAUCUCUGGCUUAUGGAAAACGCGCAGCUCUUCCAAAACUUAGAGAUGCGAUUCUGGUCUGACUUGCUCAUCUCGCCUUGCCUCUUCUAAGUGGGACAGGAGCUGGUUAACAUUGGUGACUUAGGCUGGCCCUUGACGCAGGCAGAGUGGGCACUAACCUCCUGGUUACUCCCUUGUGAGCACUCUGACAUGAGCUACCCCAUGGUAGACAGAUUCUCUGGCUUCCCUCCUUUCCUCCCUGAAGCCUCUGCCAAGGUCCUAAUUGGUCUCACCCCAGACCAUUUUGCACUUCAAGGUAGAUGCCCUAAAAUGUGAGUAUUGUACUGGGGUGUUGUAGGACGUAGCUGUGAAGACAUCUGUCUGUCUACUGGGUAAGCUCCCGCUUCUCCUUACAGCAUGGGCCUUUGCGCAGGGACCAAGCUCUUACAGCUUCUAGCUGGCUUAGGUGCCUCAGUUUCUCUGUGCGUGAAAUGAGGGCCUCUCCGGGUUCUACUCAUACUCACAGGGAUAAGUCCCCUGUCAAAUGGAGGCUUUGUUUUCCUGGGGCUCCUCUAGCUGGGGGAUGACAGAAGGACAAACAGAGGGAGAGAUGUGCUCUCAGCCCUGUCCUAGGAUAGCAGACCCCAGCAAGCUGUGUCUGGCUUAGGGUAAGGUGAGUGUGUGUGUGUGUGUGUGUGUGUGUGUGUGUGUGUGUGUGUACUGUACCAGGGUGAGUGGAGCUAGGGUAGGCUGAGUGUGUGUGUGUGGGUACUGAACCUAGGAGAGCGGAGCCAACCAAGCAGCUGUCAGGAAGAUCUCAUUAUAAGGGCUGAUGUGAGCAGAGCAACAUGGGUAUCUCUUCUCUCUCCACGGCUACACUUGUUCCUUGCUUGCUCACUUCCUGUUGUAGGUGAACUAAAGGGGCUUGAUGGUCGAGGAUGCAUCGCUCCUUAACAACCAGGCAUCCGAGACCAUCCAGCCGUUCUGAGCAGCUGGGCUGGAAAGCUGCUUCCCCACAAGCUUCAGGAACAGGCUUGGGAGACAGCCCCAGCAGACAGGCCCUUGUCCUUCCCCAGCCAGACCACCGGGUAGGAAGGACAGUCACCUUUAUCCCAGAGAACAGAGAACAGGAGGGUGUGU